GAUGAACGCUGGCGGCGUGCCUAAUACAUGCAAGUAGAACGCUGAAGGAAGGAGCUUGCUCUUUCCGGAUGAGUUGCGAACGGGUGAGUAACGCGUAGGUAACCUGCCUGGUAGCGGGGGAUAACUAUUGGAAACGAUAGCUAAUACCGCAUAACAGUAGAUGUUGCAUGAUAUCUACUUAAAAGGUGCAACUGCACCACUACCAGAUGGACCUGCGUUGUAUUAGCUAGUUGGUGAGGUAACGGCUCACCAAGGCGACGAUACAUAGCCGACCUGAGAGGGUGAUCGGCCACACUGGGACUGAGACACGGCCCAGACUCCUACGGGAGGCAGCAGUAGGGAAUCUUCGGCAAUGGACGGAAGUCUGGCCGAGCAACGCCGCGUGAGUGAAGAAGGUUUUCGGAUCGUAAAGCUCUGUUGUAAGAGAAGAACGAGUGUGAGAGUGGAAAGUUCACACUGUGACGGUAUCUUACCAGAAAGGGACGGCUAACUACGUG
rnacentral:rRNA from 1 species